rnacentral:rRNA from 1 species
UGGGGAAUUUUGGACAAUGGGGGAAACCCUGAUCCAGCCAUCCCGCGUGUGCGCUGAAGGCCUUCGGGUUGUAAAGCACUUUUGGCAGGAAAGAAACGUCAUGGGUUAAUACCCCGUGAAACUGACGGUACCUGCAGAAUAAGCACCGGCUAACUACGUGCCAGCAGCCGCGGUAAUACGUAGGGUGCAAGCGUUAAUCGGAAUUACUGGGCGUAAAGCGUGCGCAGGCGGUUCGGAAAGAAAGAUGUGAAAUCCCAGAGCUCAACUUUGGAACUGCAUUUUUAACUACCGGGCUAGAGUGUGUCAGAGGGAGGUGGAAUUCCGCGUGUAGCAGUGAAAUGCGUAGAUAUGCGGAGGAACACCGAUGGCGAAGGCAGCCUCCUGGGAUAACACUGACGCUCAUGCACGAAAGCGUGGGGAGCAAACAGG